rnacentral:rRNA from 1 species
GAUGUCAACUAGCUGUUGGGGCCGUUAGGCCUUAGUAGCGCAGCUAACGCGUGAAGUUGACCGCCUGGGGAGUACGGUCGCAAGAUUAAAACUCAAAGGAAUUGACGGGGACCCGCACAAGCGGUGGAUGAUGUGGAUUAAUUCGAUGCAACGCGAAAAACCUUACCUACCCUUGACAUGUCUGGAAAGCCGAAGAGAUUUGGCCGUGCUCGCAAGAGAACCGGAACACAGGUGCUGCAUGGCUGUCGUCAGCUCGUGUCGUGAGAUGUUGGGUUAAGUCCCGCAACGAGCGCAACCCUUGUCAUUAGUUGCUACGCAAGAGCACUCUAAUGAGACUGCCGGUGACAAACCGGAGGAAGGUGGGGAUGACGUCAAGUCCUCAUGGCCCUUAUGGGUAGGGCUUCACACGUCAUACAAUGGUCGGGACAGAGGGUCGCCAACCCGCGAGGGGGAGCCAAUCUCAGAAACCCGAUCGUAGUCCGGAUCGCAGUCUGCAACUCGACUGCGUGAAGUCGGAAUCGCUAGUAAUCGUGAAUCAGAAUGUCACGGUGAAUACGUUCCCGGGCCUUGUACACACCGCCCGUCACACCAUGGGAGUGGGUUGCUCCAGAAGUAGCUAGUCUAACCG